AGGAGUCUGACAUGUGUGCGAGUCAACGGG
rnacentral:snRNA from 1 species